rnacentral:rRNA from 1 species
AAUAGAUACCCAGGUAGUCCACGCCGUAAACGAUGAGUGCUAAGUGUUAGAGGGUUUCCGCCCUUUAGUGCUGAAGUUAACGCAUUAAGCACUCCGCCUGGGGAGUACGGCCGCAAGGCUGAAACUCAAAGGAAUUGACGGGGGCCCGCACAAGCGGUGGAGCAUGUGGUUUAAUUCGAAGCAACGCGAAGAACCUUACCAGGUCUUGACAUCCUCUGACAACCCUAGAGAUAGGGCUUCUCCUUCGGGAGCAGAGUGACAGGUGGUGCAUGGUUGUCGUCAGCUCGUGUCGUGAGAUGUUGGGUUAAGUCCCGCAACGAGCGCGACCCUUGAUCUUAGUUGCCAUCAUUCAGUUGGGCACUCUAAGGUGACUGCCGGUGACAAACCGGAGGAAGGUGGGGAUGACGUCAAAUCAUCAUGCCCCUUAUGACCUAGGCUACACACGUGCUACAAUGGACGGUACAAAGAGCUGCAAGACCGCGAGGUGGAGCUAAUCUCAUAAAACCGUUCUCAGUUCGGAUUGUAGG